ensembl:lncRNA
AUAACUUUAGUUCAACUGAUAAAACAGGGAGAGAACAUCCUCCCCAACAAACUGCUGCAUUACAUUAAAAAGUGGAAUAAAAAUUGAAACAGUCAGACCCCAUUCUAUGGACACAAUGGAAUGAAAAUAGAGUCAGACCCCAUUCUAUGGACACAAUGGAAUGAAAAUACAGUCAGACCCCAUUCUAUGGACACAAUGGAAUGAAAAUACAGUCAGACCCCAUUCUAUGGACACAAUGGAAUGAAAAUACAGUCAGACCCCAUUCUAUGGACACAAUGGAAUGAAAAUAGAGUCAGACCCCAUUCUAUGGACACAAUGGAAUGAAAAUAGAGUCAGACCCCAUUCUAUGGACACAAUGGAAUGAAAAUAGUCAGACCCCAUUCUAUGGACACAAUGGAAUGAAAAUACAGUCAGACCCCAUUCUAUGGACACAAUGGAAUGAAAAUACAGUCAGACCCCAUUCUAUGGACACAAUGGAAUUAAAAUAGUCAGACCCCAUUCUAUGGACACAAUGGAAUGAAAAUACAGUCAGACCCCAUUCUAUGGACACAAUGGAAUGAAAAUACAGUCAGACCCCAUUCUAUGGACACAAUGGAAUGAAAAUACAGUCAGACCCCAUUCUAUGGACACAAUGGAAUGAAAAUAGAGUCAGACCCCAUUCUAUGGACACAAUGGAAUGAAAAUACAGUCAGACCCCAUUCUGUGGACACAAUGGAAUGAAAAUACAGUCAGACCCCAUUCUAUGGACACAAUGGAAUGAAAAUACAGUCAGACCCCAUUCUAUGGACACAAUGGAAUUAAAAUAGCUACAGGCCCAUAGACUUGACAGAAGGGAAUUAAACAAGUGUUUUUAAUCAGUUAAAUGUAAUCCGUUUUGAUUCUAUGGGUCACGGUGGUGUCUGUCUAUUCAUUCAUCGUCUGUUGUCAUAGUCACCGAUCAUUGUCAGUGCAGUACAGUAUAAUUAAGAGUCAGAGUUGAAUGAAGAAACAGACUUCAAACGUCCAGGGAACUGGAUGAGAGGAAAAGCACUUCAAGAUGUAGCGUAGGAUAGGAUGAACUAGUGGUGGAAAGGUCUCACAGACAUUCUCACUAUAGGGCCGACCUGAACAGUACUGUGCUGGCUCAGAUAUGCCUGAUUCUCACUAUAGGGCCGACCUGAAUAGUACUGUGUUGGCUCAGAUAUGCCUGAUUCUCACUAUAGGGCCGACCUGAAUAGUACUGUGUUGGCUCAGAUAUGCCUGAUUCUCACUAUAGGGCCGACCUGAAUAGUACUGUGUUGGCUCAGAUAUGCCUGAUUCUCACUAUAGGGCCGACCUGAAUAGUACUGUGUUGGCUCAGAUAUGCCUGAAUCUCACUAUAGGGCCGACCUGAAUAGUACUGUGUUGGCUCAGAUAUGCCUGAAUCUCACUAUAGGGCCGACCUGAAUAG